CAGCGCCACGAGUGGCAACCAUGAUUAUUGGGCCUAAAGCGUUCGUAGCCGGUUUGGUAAAUCUUCUGUGAAAUCGUCUCGCUUAACGAAACGACGUGCAAGAGACACUACUAAACUUGAGACCGGGAGGAGCAAGGAGUAUUCUUGGGGGAGCGGUAAAAUGUUAUAAUCCCUUGAAGACUACCUGUGGCGAAGGCGCCUUGCUAGAACGGAUCUGACGGUGAGGGACGAAAGCCAGGGGAGCGAUCCGGAUUAGAUACCCGAGUAGUCC
rnacentral:rRNA from 1 species